CGCGCUCCCGUGUAACUGGCUGCGGGAUGACGGUCACGCUCUGCUGGAGACGGAGGGGAGUGAGCUCACGGGGCUUCCCCACGGGGCCCAACAUUUUACUGGUUUCAAGACUCACCAGUAGUUAUGUCUUUUUCUUUGACUGAAAUGAAGACUAACAGCUGGAUGAGAUACCAGAGCAGACCCAUCCGUUUCGAACGCUUCUAAACCAGCGGCUUCCAGCGUUUCUCAAGCUGGGAAUCAAUCCCCUGUCACCAUCUUCCAAAACUGCCUGUGACAUUUGUUAAUUCUUUUUAACCAAUGGGGCAAAAACAUGUUUAAUAAGACGUUUUGGGAAAUGUUAAAAGCAUUUGUAGGGAAAAACAAAGUUUAGGAAAAAUGGUUUUGAUUCAGGUUCCAGAG